UAAUUCCUUCCAGUUCCACUCACACCCAAUGUCCAUUUCAGGCUCACCUGGAAACAGCAGCUCAUUCAUUAUCAGGAUCCUCCUUAUUGCUCUGGUUCUCAGUAGGAGACUCACUGCAAGUGACUCUCUCUCCAAACAAUCCUGAUUCUAGGCAUUCGAAGGUGCAGGCACAUCCCUGCAGCCACACUUGCAUUCUACACUGAUAACCUGAGUCAUGUUGUCCAGUACUGAAAUGAAGAAAUAGCUGAGAGAUCAGGACCCUGUUUCCUUCCAAGAAGGCUUGUACGUUUUCACGAAGAAGGUUAGUGCUGAUUGGACGUCUACCAGUGAAUGCCAGUGAAAAUGAGUACCCAUCAGAACCUGGCAAGCCCAGCUGUAGCAGAUUGAAAGUCACAGGAUUACCAGAACCUGAGGCAGCAGGAAAAGCUGGGAAUCACUACAGGCCAGAGGAGCAGUUCUUAGGAGCAGCUGAUGAAAUCAGGUAUUGUUGAUGCCGUUAGCAGAGAGAACGGGAGGAAGAAAACCUUUGGGGCAUUUGCCUUCUCCUCUUAUAGCCAUUUCUCUUUUGCAAGAAUUCAUCUUCAGCUGAGAUUCAGGAAACAGAAGGUCCGAGGAGACAGGAAACCCUAGCUGUUUGUCAAAAUGCAGAUUUCUCACUCACACCCUUCUUCCUGCCAAAGAAGAAGAGGCCAUCUGAUUUUGUUGACAGCGGGCUGAGGCAUCAAUUUGCCUUUUGUCUGUGAGGAAUUGGCUUGUGCCUGCUUUUCUAAACAUGGAACAUGACUCAGGAAUGUUAUGCAAUAGAAUCUUGUAACUUUACAUACAGUGUUGCCACCCAUAUUUUAUUUGAUGAUCAGCAGAUUCUGAGCUUGCAAACGAUACCUCACAAAGCAUACUUUGUACAGAAAUGAUCAUCAUCUUGCAAAAAUGGUGAACAUAAGAGUACAGACUGUCACACUUACCCACUCCACUGGAGACUUAGGUUGUUAGUAUAGUGCAGAAAUUACAUGUUGAGUUCAUUCUGGUGCACCAAAGAAGGAACUCAAAUUCCACAAGAAAAGUGUCGAGUUCUAGAAAUCUAGGGCUGUAUCUGUUAGUGGGAAGUAUGAAAUGCAAUGUCAGUACUUUCUGAAUUAGAUGCAUUAGCCACAAAAGUCCUUUUUCAAAACCAGGACAACACCCUCAAAACAAAACCAAACACACAAGAGUUUUCCCUUCUAAUUGGAGAAGUGCUGAACACACCACCUGGCAGUCUAUCCUACCUAUAUCACAUUUCAUUCCUAUAAGCAGGGCCCACUAUUAUUCUGCACCUGCUGUUCCUUCCCAUCAACCCAUAUUCUAGAAUCUAAACUUCCAUUUAAAAUAGAAAACCCUUCCUAUUUCCAUCCUUUAUGGUUGUAGAGAACUUUUGAAAACAUGAGCCAAAGUAUAAACUGAUGCAGCAGUGUGAGAAGGCAGCCAGAAAGAAUAGCUCACAUGUGAGCUGCCACAUUGAUUGCAAUCUGGUGUUAAUUCUGAAACCUAAUGGUGGCAUAAUGUCAGUGUUUCUGCUCUUCUUUACUGCACCAAAAGUUGGCACUCUCAGAGGUCUAGGGCCUGUGACUGAGCUUUUUUAUUGCACACCUUGAGGUAGAAGAAUGAAAAGCAGAUAAACAAAUCCUCCAUUCCAGAUGCUGCUGAUGUUAAAAUUCCCUUAUUUUCUAGGCGUACCUCAGAUCUCCCCCUUUCAGCCAGGCACACUUGUUGAAAAGAUCUACUCAAGGUAAAUGAGUUUUCCAAAUCUCUUCCAUUUUAUUAACUUAAACUUUUUCCUCCUGAGAAGAGACCUGUGGCUUGUGGGAGUGUCUGCUACAGCCACUUUGACCAGCGUAGCGUCUCCUCUCCCCUGUGAAGCAACAAUCUAGAGUGCUACGUAAAGGCAGAGUUACUAGAAACCAGGUCUUAUAAUGGGGAAGUGUUAGGCAUCCUUAUGUAUAGGUGGUGCUACCCCCUCUGCCUACAGUGAGAUAUGUGACAAAAUUCCCAACAUGCACCUACAAUUAAAUGAAAGUUCUGACUGCUCCAUUCAUCGCUGAUGCACCUCUGUAUGGGCAAUGGUCCAGAGCAGGGAUAGUGCUGGGAUUCACUAGGUGGUGAAUAAGUUAGGCAGGGCUUGAGGGAGAUGGAAAGUGAGAAGGUCCAAAUGAUUUCAUCGGCUAAAAGGAAAGGCAGGGGACUUAGCAGUUAGGAAGGGUUAAAGGGUUUUGUCACUGGAAGGAGAACUGAGCCCUAUAUGACAGGAGUGUGUGGGAAGGUGUCUUAUGGCUUGGAAACUGGAACGGGUGGAAGUUGGGUCUUCUGUUACCUAGAGGAAUGAGAGAUGUGCCGCAGGGAGGACUGAGUAGUUUGGAGGGAGGAGGGAAGUGCAUGAUCUCCUGUCCAUAUAUAACCUUGCUCAGGCUCCUGGACAGGCUCGUAGAGCACAGGGCUUCCCUUCUUUCUAACCUACGUGCUCAUGGAUGGGUGAACAUAGGAAACUUAGUUCACAGAUUGUACAUUAAACAGGCUGUCUGUCUUCUCUCCAUGCUUUGGGCCUGAAGACUCCAAAGGCAUAGGUCAUGCACAGCUCCACUCCUGGCAUGUGUUUAAUAUUAAACACUAAAAUGCCAGAUCACCAGGUUGCUUCAUGCACUUAAUUUCAAUCGGGGUUAGAGCCACGAAGGGGAUUAAAUUAGGCUCCAUGCAGAAAGGGGAUUCAAACAACAAAAAAGGCACUUUCUGGCUAUGCUGCAAAUGAGCUUUCAAAAGGGGUUAGAAGUGAACUAAGAGAUGAUAGAGCUGGACAGAGAAUCCCUCGAGUGCUAAAACAAGGAGUCAUAUUCCAUUAAGAGCUAUGAUUUUUAUACCAUUUAAUGCAAAUAUAUGUCGUGUCAGUUCAGAAAUGUAUGAAAAAUAGAUCAGAGCAAAAUAAUUCAAAUGGAAGCAAAUGCAGCAGAAAUCAGGACUGCAGUCACAUGGCUUGUUCACAUUUCAUCACGUUCUGAAAAACUGUAUAUGAAACCUCUAUUACCUCAUUCACACACAGCUACCCUUCUACCUUCCUUUCUGUAUCUCCGUGCCACUUAGCUCGCAAGCGUCUAGGGUUUGAGAGUGUCCAUCGAUAUUUAUUUGCCUUGUGCCACACACAGCACACUGCUGCCACCUGGGAAAUUAAACAAAAAUUAUCAACGUUCAGUUGGAACUGUGUUGUGAAGAAGAAGGACAUUCAGGCUAAUUGGUCACUAGGGGGCAGCACUGUACUUUGCAGGCUUCGCUGAAC